UGGGGGAUAUUGCACAAUGGGCGAAAGCCUGAUGCAGCGACGCCGCGUGGGGGAUGAAGGCCUUCGGGUUGUAAACUUCUUUUGCUCUGAACAAGGCAUGCUAAUGGGUGUGUUGAGUGUAGGGGUUGAUUAGCGCCGGCUAACUACGUGCCAGCAGCCGCGGUAAUACGUAGGGCGCGAGCGUUGUCCGGAAUUAUUGGGCGUAAAGGGCUUGUAGGUGGCUGGUUGCGUCUGUCGUGAAAGCUCAUGGCUUAACUGUGGGUUUGCGGUGGGUACGGGCUGGCUUGAGUGCAGUAGGGGAGGCUGGAAUUCCUGGUGUAGCGGUGGAAUGCGCAGAUAUCAGGAGGAAUACCGGUGGCGAGGGCGGGUCUCUGGGCUGUUACUGACACUGAGGAGCGAAAGCAUGGGGAGCGAACAGG
rnacentral:rRNA from 1 species